UCUCCUCACUCCAAGAACAGCCGGCCAAGGGAAGCAAAGAAACAACUCAAAGUUUUCCAUUUUUCCAUCUUCAUUUCUUCAACAAAACAUCACCAAAUCCUACCAAAAUUUGACCACACAUACCUCAACACUUGGAGAUUACAUCUAGCUAAGAAAAGGAGCUACAAUCCGUGGGUUUUCUUGAGCUAAGGAGAGCCGAAAUUUCUGUCUUGAACAUCAAAGCGAGUAAGUAACGAUCAACUCUUAAAUUCUUGUAUUAUGAGAGUAGUAAUGCACAUUUAAGAGCAUGCAUGCAUAUGGGUAGCUUGGAUAUGUUGAAAAAUGGUUGUGUGGGCUCUAUGAACUCCCACCUUGGAUAUAUGGACUGAUUUGAUGAUUGAUGAUGAAAUUAAUGGUGGUUUAAUACUUAAAUUAGUGGAUUAAUGUUGUAUGGUUGGUAGAAAAUCAAAAGAGGUGCUUGGAACAAAAGUGACCGUUUUACCCCUGCCUUGUCCGACCACUUUUGUGCAAAAUUUUGAGGUUCUAAUGGCUUGUUUAUGUUUUUUACAUGUUAUAUUGGUUGUGUAAAAAGUUUCAUUGAAAAAUAACUUGAUUUGGUCACUCAAAUGUUGAAAUUUCUAAAGGUUAGAAAACUGGAAUUUUGUUCCCAGAUUGCCCAGGCAGUCUUCUUGUUUCGGCCAUAACUUGUUGCUUCGAUGUCAAAAUCGAGUGCCGUUUGUAGCAUUGGAAACUAGACAUUUCUAGGUUUCUGUUGGUAUAAAAUUCAUGUCCUGGUUCCACUUGAGAAAGCCAAACCAUUCGUUUGAAAUCCACUGUCCUGUUUCGUUGCUUCCUGGAAGGCAGCACAUGAGCUGCAACUUGAUGCUCACGAAUGAGCUGGUUAUGGACAGAUUUUGAAAAUGGUUUCUUCUGAGAAAAUAUAGCCUUAUGAGUCUAUUUUCUAACUCCACAAACCACACUCAAUUCUGAGUUGAAUUGAGUGAUUUAUGAUCGAAAUUCAAAACUGACUUUGUGAACGAAACAGUGUUUUGGACAGAUUUGAAACUAACAAUGACUUGGGACUUGUUAUCCGGAAUUUUGGUGAUUAAUUACCUACAAAAUGUGUAUUGGAUACCUCUUAGACAUUGUCUAUGCACAUGGACCAUGCUUGAGGUACUUUGUUGGCCAAACGUUUUGAAAACGAAAAACGGAACAUACAAGGCAGAUUUACCUUGAAGUUCUUGGAGUUUUCGUGAUUUCGUUAACCAACUUCCCGAAUGAAUUUUCCUAUGAAUUUUGGUAGAGGAAUAUCCAUUAUAUGGUAGGAUAAACCUGCAAAAUUUGGUGCCAUUUCAAGUUCGUUUCGAUGUUCAACCGAUGUCCCAAAAACAGUGAUUUAAAUCUGGAAAAUGGUAAACAGGUUCCAAAUUUCAGCAACUUUGAGCUACCGUAUCUCGGUGCUCAAAACUCCAAUUCUCAUUCAACUUGCUUUUUUUUAAACUUUGUUCACAACUCUAAUUGAGUUCUAAAUUUUAAAGGCUGGUUCGCAAUGGGUGAAUUUUGCCGAAUUUCCAAAGUUGGCCAAAAACCAACCUCGAAAGCUGUCUUCAUGUUCAAAACAGCAACUUUGAGCCAAUUUUUGAAAACUUUCCGUCUGGAAUCAUGGAAAAGUGUAUUCUAUGAACUUUUACCACUUUGGAAGAGGUUUCCAACGGUACCAAGUUUUCCAAUUUUUGACUUGUAAAGCGUGAGAUACGAUUUUUCUAAUGUAUCAUAUCAAAACUGAAAAUUUCCAAAUUCCAAGGAAAUGGAGUUUUUCAAGUACUCCUUAUUCUUUCGAUAUUACUUGAACGUUUUAUACUUGAUUUCCAAGAUGAAAACUCAAUUUCUUCUGUACUUUGAAACCCCACUUGAGAGCCUCGAUUUAAGAUAAUUAAGGCUCGUUUCACGAGACUUUCUAAGAUUGUACUAUGGUACGAUCUUCUUUAAUAGUAGGAGUUUGUGAAUGAUAGUCUAUUAUUAUUUGUUCAGGCGCACACGAGGACCUUUAAGAGGAUCCCACGGUGGACGCUUGAACUUCAAUUGAAUCUACUUGCUCUUGUUACUUGGUGAGUGUCAAGUGUGUGUUACUUGAACUCCUGUGAACUCGAUACAUGUUUACUUGUAUUGAUACUUGAGAUUUUGAAAUUUGAGACGAGCGUGUACUUUAUCACACUUGAUCUCACUUGAAACAAAUAACUUGCUUGACAAGAAAUAAAUGACCUACUAGACAUGACAUGAAUGCUUGAAUGUAUCAAAUGCUUGAAUGACUUGAUAUAGUAUGCUAUGGCUGCAUACGUCGUAGGAGUGAAUCUCCUCGACACUCAAAAAUACAUAGGGACGCCCAAAUCUCAUCGGCCGACCUUGGACUUGAGCCGGCAUGGGCUUGGUCGGGAACCUUGGCGAACCAUGAGAAUCACAUGACAAGCUUGAUCUAGUAAGAGAUCUCGCUUGGCAUACUCGAGUAGUAUCGCCUUAAAUAAAUGACAGGCGGGCCCGAUACAGGGGUAUGUAAGGUGAAAGGGGACAUGUUAAGUGGAGUUCUGCAGACUAAACCUACCCGAUUGACGGAGUGUCAAUUCGUGGAGGUUAUUGCUCGUGCAAGUGGAAUAUAGCUCCUGAGAGCUCCAGUAUCCUUGAAUUGUUUCUGUUUACUUUUCCAGUGAAUUAUUAAUUAUUGAAAUAUUAUUGCUCGACUUGUAAAUUGGUUUGUUACUUGAAUAAUGUGCUUGCAUGUGUGUUCUUGGCCUCACGAGCGUUUUGCUCACCCUGUAGAUUUGUUUUCCUUAACAGGAUUGAGCUUGGAAUGAGACUCGGAGGAAAUUCCCUUUUGUACUUUUGUAAUAGGGUUCUAAUAAUAUUGACUAGAUUUGUGGCUAUGGUAUAUUUUGGGCUGUAUUAUGGAAACCUGAUGUAAGGAUUGGGUAAUUGUUAAAUAUUGUAAGCUUGAAUGCUUCCGGACAAAUCGUAUUUAUAUUAUCUAGUUGUUGACGUCUA
rnacentral:lncRNA from 1 species